GACAGAGGGUGCAAACGUUGCUCGGAAUCACUGGGCGUAAAGGGCGUGUAGGCGGAUAGAUAAGUCGGGCGUGAAAGCCCCGGGCUCAACCUGGGAACUGCAUUUGAAACUGGCGGGCUUGAGUGUGGCAGAGGGGGGUGGAAUUCCGCGUGUAGCAGUGAAAUGCGUAGAGAUGCGGAGGAACACCGAUGGCGAAGGCAGCCCCCUGGGCCAACACUGACGCUCAGGCACGAAAGCGUGGGGAGCAAACAGG
rnacentral:rRNA from 1 species